AAGUCGAACGCUUCUUUCCUCCCGAGUGCUUGCACUCAUUUGGAAAGAGGAGUGGCGGACGGGUGAGUAACACGUGGGUAACCUACCCAUCAGAGGGGGAUAACACUUGGAAACAGGUGCUAAUACCGCAUAACAGUUUAUGCCGCAUGGCAUAAGAGUGAAAGGCGCUUUCGGGUGUCACUGAUGGAUGGACCCGCGGUGCAUUAGCUAGUUGGUGAGGUAACGGCUCACCAAGGCCACGAUGCAUAGCCGACCUGAGAGGGUGAUCGGCCACACUGGGACUGAGACACGGCCCAGACUCCUACGGGAGGCAGCAGUAGGGAAUCUUCGGCAAUGGACGAAAGUCUGACCGAGCAACGCCGCGUGAGUGAAGAAGGUUUUCGGAUCGUAAAACUCUGUUGUUAGAGAAGAACAAGGACGUUAGUAACUGAACGUCCCCUGACGGUAUCUAACCAGAAAGCCACGGCUAACUACGUGCCAGCAGCCGCGGUAAUACGUAGGUGGCAAGCGUUGUCCGGAUUUAUUGGGCGUAAAGCGAGCGCAGGCGGAUUUCUUAAGUCUGAUGUGAAAGCCCCCGGCUCAACCGGGGAGGGUCAUUGGAAACUGGGAGACUUGAGUGCAGAAGAGGAGAGUGGAAUUCCAUGUGUAGCGGUGAAAUGCGUAGAUAUAUGGAGGAACACCAGUGGCGAAGGCGGCUCUCUGGUCUGU
rnacentral:rRNA from 1 species